GUAUUGUAUGAAAGGAGAGAAGGUUAGGACUCCCCUGGAGAAGGAUGGAAGGGGUCCUAGUGGCCUCUACAGCACAUUCCAAGUGCUUAGUAUAGUGCACUGCACAUAUUA
rnacentral:ncRNA from 1 species